CAGCAGGCAGCACCCAGCGCUCCUCAGACAAGAAUUGUUGAGUUAAUUAGAAAUGUAUAUUCGAUACCCGGCCCGAACGGGGCUCUGCGCGUUGCUAAGGAGCCUGCGUGCCUCUUGAGAAAGAUUAACAAAGGGUUUAUUUCCUGUGGGCUCGGGCCGCGUGUCAGCAGAGCGGAGGCUGCGGGAGUUAUUGAUUCGCUUUCCAUAAGGUUUGCAUUUUCAAGUUGCCCAGAUGGAGAUCCCAUGGCACUGGAAACCAGCCCUGUCCCACAUGGACCCGAGGAACAGAGACACCCAGGAACAGCGGGACGGGGAAGGGCUGCACAACAACAGCUGGCGAACAGCUAAGUGUGUUGAAUAGUCAUUGUGGACAUACCACGGAGAUAAAGAUCACGUUUUGAAUAAGGAAACAUGCAGAUCGCACUGGUUCUUGCAUGCAGAUGUCUGCUCCUGCCCACUGCUGCAGGACAGAAGCAAUUCCCCU
rnacentral:lncRNA from 1 species